AUAUGUGUUAAAAUAUAGGAAAAUAAAUCUGACAGGAAGGGGCAUUAGUUCAUCGGAAGUAUUCUAAUGAAAACUCAAAAUUCUUUCUAACGAGCUAUUAUGAUACGGCAAUGAGAUAAGCAGCAAAUUGGCUCAUAGACAUUUGGGUGAUUUGUGGUAGUUUAACACCUC
ensembl:ncRNA F55D10.9 ncRNA